GCCGAGACUAGAGUCACAUCCUGACAUGGUGCUUGUCCCGGUGUGCUAGAGUUCUCGGAGAUUAUCUGCUGGUCUUCAUUCACUAGUAGGGGCCUUCAGUGUCCCUGUUAGUGCCUAGAUCAGAAACAGGU
ensembl:snoRNA Gm24888 small nucleolar RNA SNORA3/SNORA45 family